rnacentral:rRNA from 1 species
UACAGAGGGUGCGAGCGUUUAAUCGGAAUUACUGGGCGUAAAGCGCGCGUAGGCGGCUUUGCAAGUCGGGUGUGAAAUCCCCAGGCUUAACCUGGGAACUGCAUUCGAGACUGCAUUGCUAGAGUAUGGGAGAGGGAAGUGGAAUUUCCGGUGUAGCGGUGAAAUGCGUAGAUAUCGGAAGGAACAUCAGUGGCGAAAGCGACUUCCUGGACCAAUACUGACGCUCAUGUGCGAAAGCGUGGGAGCAAACAGG